rnacentral:tRNA from 1 species
GGGGCCGUAGCUCAGUUGGUAGAGCGUCUCGAUGGCAUCGAGAAGGCCAGGGGUUCGAUUCCCCUCGGCUCCA